AGCAGUCCCUCGUGAAUCGAAGUAUUUUGGGAUUUACGAUCAUGUCUAGUGGUACGCCUGCUUUACUACGUGGUUGAAGACGUGGCCAUGAUCGUGGCCGCGGUCGUGGCCUGCCACUUCCAUCAGCGCCUUCGGAUGCUUCCCAGGUUAGGGAAGCAGCCCUUCGACCACCCUCACCACUUGACAAGAUCGCACCGUCCUCCAACCCGUAGACUCCAGAUGAUGCUAGACCAUCUGGAGCUGCACUAGCAGCUGAUGAGAUGAUGCAGCACUCUGCCACACCAGUUGUUGCUCCACCACCACCAAUAGUCCCCCCCACCACUAAUGCACCAGUACAUCAGCCUAAAAAAUAUAUGUUUAUAGAAAAAAUUUUAGUAUUAUCAAAAUUUUGUUUAUCACAAUUUUUUUAGUAUUAUUUUAUCUUGAAAAUAUCUAAUUAACAUGUCAUUUUAAAUCUGAUCGUCGCUUCCACGAACGCAUCAAUGUGGUCGUGCGGGGACACUUUCCCCACCCGUGGCCGUGUUUGAGGCAGGUGCAACCAGAGCACCAGCAUUUCUAGUUCGAGAGCAUGAAGAUAAGCAAAUGGUGGGACUGUAACGAUAAAUCCAUAUUUCGAAUCUUCCACAUGUGGGUCAAAAAGUACAUCUUGAAGAUAUUUUCCAUCCCCAGCCUGGUCAAGCCACUCUAGCUGGUCAACGAGGUCUGGCUCCAACUGCGGCGCACUAGGCCAAUAAAGACUACCAGCAAGAGUCCGAGCGAACUGGGCGGCGAACCCACGGCGUCCUCGACUGUGUGCCGGAGGGUCUUCCUCUAUCGGCAUGCAUCGAAAGAGGAAGUUCAAAAGGGCAGAGUUCGGUCGGCCGAUCAAGCGAUUGAGUUGUUUGAAAGGAGCUACAAGAAAAAGAAGGACGGCGGCUGAAGUGGGCCAAGGGCGAGGGAGAUGUUCUAGAAGCUCAUGGAAGAUCGUCAGCCUCAGGCCACAUCGAGGACUAUGAUGCCCCGGCUGAAUCGGAGGCUUUGGUGGCAAUGUGGAGUAGCAGAUGUGGCUGGCUACAGUCGGGGGCAAGAACAAGAGCCGAGUAUUCGGGCCUUGGUUCUGAGGUCCACG